AGCAGAGCUGUGGAGUGUGACAAUGGUGUUUGUGUCCAAACUAUCAAACGCCAUUAUCACACUAAAUAGCUACUGCUAGG
ensembl:miRNA Mir122 microRNA mir-122